UCGCUACGCUCACGAAGCUCACUGGUAGGAUUUUGGUUGUUUCUCAUUUAUUUUCAAGAAAUUGAUAAAAUCGCCGACUCCUGUGGUCAAAACUAUCUUGUCUCCAUUUUGUUUGCCUCGUACUUCAAAAUCGGGAACCUUUUCAUUUCCCCCAUGUUAUCGAUCGAACAUCUGGAUAAAUGUCAUAUUAUUUGGCAAUACCAAUAUCAACUGCAUUUGCUUUAUGUGUGCGCAUUCUUCAAACUGCAGAGAACAUGUGGACGUAGAUAUUGACGCCAUGUUUUUUUUCACUUUCGAUUUCGAUUUCAAACGCUUGACAGAUUAAGAUGAAUAUAAAAGUUAAACGAACCCACGUGUGACUUCCGGAUUUCUAACGAUGGAUAAAAACAAUUAGGGUCGGCAAUUAAAUAUAGGGUCGGUCGGGAAACCGUAAACAAACAUAUUUUUUUGUUAGGCCCCAUUCUAAAUUGUGUUCUUUAUUUGUUAGACAUGUAGUGCAUGUUUCUUGUGUUUAAUUGUUUACAAUUUCUAUUUACUAACCAUAUUUGAGUGUUAAGCUUUGAAUUUUAGGCAAGAUACAGAGAUUUGCUCACAAUUCUAUGUUUGUACACAGAUCUUAAAAGCUAAAGAAUAAAAAAGUAAAAAAAAUUGUCAAUAUUUAUUACGAAAAUUUUCAAAGUCUGUUCUUCCGGAAACCAACUUAUUGAAUUGUAAACUUAACCUUUUUAGCUCACCCGAGGGUGGGGUCACAAUGGGGGGUCGAAGUUUAACAAAUGAAUAUAUAGAGUAAAUCUUUUAAAAAUCUUCUUCUCAGAAACUAAUCGGCCAGGAAAGCUGAAAAUCAUGACCCCCAGGGGUAGGAUGGGGCCACAAUGGGGGAUCGACGUUUUACAUAGGAAUAUAUACAGUAAAUCUUUAAAAAUCUUCUUCUCAGAAACUAAUCAGCCAGGAAAGCUGACACUUGUGUGGAUGCAUCCUCAGGUAGUGUAAAUUCAAAGUUGUGAACAUCAUGACCCCCGGGGGUAGGGUGGGGCACAAUGGGGUAUCGUAGUUUAACAUAGGAAUAUAUACAGUAAAUCUUUAAAAAUCUUCUUUUCAGAAACUAAUCUGCCGGCAAAGCUGGAACUUGUUUGGAAGCAUCCUCAGAUGCGAUUACAAUCAUUCAAACCAGUCCAGUCCAUACAGUAUUGAUAAAGAUGCGCAUGAUGCAACUUCCUGGAUGGUGCUGAGCCUGUUUGUCAACAUGUGGAACCCACGUGUAUUUAGGGGAGUUGUCUCCCUUGUUAAAGAUCAACAAUGGCGGAUAAACAAUGCGGGAUGCUGUCUUGUCACCAACGGUGAAAUUUGACACCUGUAUACCCGUAUUUCAAUCAACAGUCUCAGUCCUCGUUGUUGUGUACAUCAGACAGAUGAUGGACCACUCUACUUCCUUUUACAACAGGUGCCCCUACAGAUUCACAAAGUUCCAAUGUUGAAUUUCCAUGACCCUGAUU